UACGUAGGGGGCAAGCGUUGUCCGGAUUUAUUGGGCGUAAAGAGCGUGUAGGCGGUUUGGUAGGUCCGUUGUGAAAACUCGAGGCUCAACCUCGAGACGCCGGCGGAAACCAUCAGGCUAGAGUCCGGAAGAGGAGAGUGGAAUUCCUGGUGUAGCGGUGAAAUGCGCAGAUAUCAGGAAGAACACCCGUGGCGAAGGCGGUUCUCUGGGACGGUACUGACGCUGAGACGCGAAAGCGUGGGGAGCGAACAGG
rnacentral:rRNA from 1 species